CCUUGAGCUUCUUUUCGCAGUUCCAUCGGUGAUCUUUGAUCUGCUGAAUUUCGUUUAUUUGCAUGGAAUCCGCUUGUGCACCGAUUAAUUUUGCCGGCCAUGAUGAAUACUAUGGAAUCCGAUGACUGUUCUGUGAUUCAGUGCUUCUCGAUGAGUUUAAUUCGCUAGGAAUUGGUUCUGUCUUGUGUUUGAUCCGCUUGCGGAAGCUGAUUUUCCAGUGGUUUUGGGAAUAGGGAAAGAUAAACUCGUUUGUGAACUGUAAAUCGACCGCGAUAAGGAUCAAGCAGAGGAAAUUCAAUUGCGUAUUUGCAAAUUUUCAUUCUUUUAGUGUUCAUUUUGUUAAUUGAUGUCCGAUUUGUCUUCGUGCUA